UGAGUAAAAGCUUUAUAGCAAACUGGCUGUUAACCAGUAGACAACGAAAGCUGCUUUCGUUUACCCAA
rnacentral:tRNA from 1 species